rnacentral:tRNA from 1 species
AGGCCCGUAGCUCAAUUGGCAGAGCGUUGGUCUCCAAAACCAAAGGUUCCAGGUUCGAUUCCUGGCGGGCCUG